rnacentral:rRNA from 1 species
UGGGGAAUUUUGGACAAUGAGCGCAAGCCUGAUCCAGCCAUGCCGCGUGCGGGAAGAAGGCCUUCGGGUUGUAAACCGCUUUUGUCAGGGAAGAAAUCUUCUGAGUUAAUACCUCGGGAGGAUGACGGUACCUGAAGAAUAAGCACCGGCUAACUACGUGCCAGCAGCCGCGGUAAUACGUAGGGUGCAAGCGUUAAUCGGAAUUACUGGGCGUAAAGCGUGCGCAGGCGGUUUUGUAAGACAGAGGUGAAAUCCCCGGGCUCAACCUGGGAACUGCCUUUGUGACUGCAAGGCUUGAGUGCGGCAGAGGGGGAUGGAAUUCCGCGUGUAUCAGUGAAAUGCGUAGAUAUGCGGAGGAACACCGAUGGCGAAGGCAAUCCCCUGGGCCUGCACUGACGCUCAUGCACGAAAGCGUGGGGAGCAUCAGGAUUAGAUACCCUGGUAGUCCACGCCCUAAACGAUGUCAACUGGUUGUUGGGAAGGUUCCUUUCUCAGUAACGUAGCUAACGCGUGAAGUUGACCGCCUGGGGGAGUACGGCCGCAAGGUUGAAAACUCAAAGGAAUUGACGGGGUCAUAGCUGUUUCCUG